AGCUCAGCAUUGGGCGUAAAGCGUGCGCAGGCGGUUUUGUAAGACAGAGGUGAAAUCCCCAGGCUCAACCUGGGAACUGCCUUUGUGACUGCAAGGCUGGAGUGCGGCAGAGGGGGAUGGAAUUCCGCGUGUAGCAGUGAAAUGCGUAGAUAUGCGGAGGAACACCGAUGGCGAAGGCAAUCCCCUGGGCCUGCACUGACGCUCAUGCACGAAAGCGUGGGGAGCAAACA
rnacentral:rRNA from 1 species